rnacentral:rRNA from 1 species
UACGUAGGGUGCAAGCGUUGUCCGGAAUUAUUGGGCGUAAAGAGCUCGUAGGCGGUUUGUCGCGUCGGCUGUGAAAACUGGAGGCUUAACCUCCAGACGUCGACGGAAACCGCGUGGCUAGAGUCCGGAAGAGGAGAGUGGAAUUCCUGGUGUAGCGGUGAAAUGCGCAGAUAUCAGGAAGAACACCAAUGGCGAAGGCAGCUCUCUGGGACGGUACUGACGCUGAGACGCGAAAGCGUGGGGAGCGAACAGG